rnacentral:rRNA from 1 species
GACGAACGCUGGCGGCGUGCUUAACACAUGCAAGUCGAACGGAAAGACCCGGCGCUUGUUGGUUUCUCGAUUGGCGAACGGGGGAGUAACACGCGAGUAACCUGCACCUGUCUUUGUGAUAACUUCAGGAAACUGGGGCUCAUACCGGAGAGGAGCUCCUGCUGCAUGGGGGUGGUUGGUGAGUGUCGGCGGUUGGGGAUGUACUCGCUGGUUAUCAGCUUGUUGGUGUGGUAGUCGCUUACAAAGGUUUUGAGGGGUAGCCUGCCUGAGAGGGUGAACAGCCACAUUGCUACUGAGAGACGGCGCAGUAUGCUACGUGCGGCAACAGUGGGGAAUCUUGCGCAGUGAGCGGACGCGUGAGGCAGCGACGCCGCGUGCGGGAUGACGGCUUUCGGGUUAUAAACCGCUGUCGAAGGUGACGAAGAGUUAGUGACGGUAAUGAGUAAGGAAGCACCGGCUAACUACGUG